rnacentral:rRNA from 1 species
UACGAAGGGGGCUAGCGUUGUUCGGAUUUACUGGGCGUAAAGCGCGCGCAGGUGGUUUCUUAAGUCUGAUGUGAAAGCCCACGGCUCAACCGUGGAGGGUCAUUGGAAACUGGGGAACUUGAGUGCAGGAGAGAAGAGUGGAAUUCCACGUGUAGCGGUGAAAUGCGUAGAGAUGUGGAGGAACACCAGUGGCGAAGGCGACUCUUUGGCCUGUAACUGACACUGAGGCGCGAAAGCGUGGGGAGCAAACAGG